rnacentral:lncRNA from 1 species
AGUUCAUAGUGUUAGAUUUGUGGCUGGAUGGGAUUUUUUUGUUUGUGAUUCAUCGGUACUGCACAGAAUGAAGCUUUCCUACACACUUGUCGCAAUACUUGCGACAUGCCUCUUAGUUGUAGACACGAAUGGAGAACAAAAGGCAAAAACGAAAA